UAAAUGCUACGGCUCAAACAAGUAAACAAAAACGACAAAACUAAGAGCCAAUGCCUGUCAAAACUGUAAUGUAAUGGCAGGGAGUCAGCUUGCAAAAGGUUCAUUCUCUUAUGAAAAGCCCAUUUCUCUCUGUCCUCUGUGAGGGACGUCUGGGCUAGAAAUUCGAAGCACUAAUUUCCUGAGUUUGGAAACUCCUGGGAUUCAAAAGUGUCAGAAGGUCGAAAUACAGGACAGGUGAGGGAAGGCUUGUUAGCUUGAGGUGCCAAUUGGACUCUGGUGCUGAGGAUAUUUUGUAUUUAAUGAAAGGAUGAGAAGGGAAAAUAAACCCGGGAAAUGCUGAGUUAAAAGCUGGUGCAGCAGGAGAGCCUAGAGCAGAGCAAUCAUUAAAAGUCCUUUGGGGCUGGCUUCUUCAAAAGAGCUAACUAUGCUGGCUGAGGACAUGCCCCCUGGUUGCAUCCAGUUGGAGGGCGUUUAUUCUCCUGAGGAGACAGAAGUUCACAGCUGAGCUUACUUGUGCCCCAAUGUGAGGUUUUCCAAGGACCCUGAUGUGUGUGGAAGGUUGCCGCCAAUGCAGGCAAAAGACCCCGUAAACAGAGAUCUCAAGAACGCCUUUCCUUUGUGUGCUUGACUCUUUAUACAUUUCUGCUGGACUCAGAGCCAGUUUUCUUACCCGCCCAUCUCCUCCAUUGGUUUUUCUCUCUGAUGUGCUGGAUUUCUGAACACAGAGUCUCCAGCCAGGCCAGUAGCUGCUCUAUUCUUCAUGGCUUCCCAAGUUCCCGGGAGCAACACCCAGUGACAGGCCCCCGAAAACGCACUGGAGAUGGGGGCAGGAGGCAGUGCUGGUGAGGAGCCCCGGUCUUAAAGCAUCGAAAAUCGGUGCCUUUUAGGAUUCAAAUUGCGUUUUAAGUUUAUCUCGAUUUUAUCAUGAGUAAUAUGCUGAUAAAAAUUAAAACAAAUAUAGAAUAUAAAUUCUUCUCCUACAUCCUCCCCCAAUCUGAACAGUGAUUAUAGUCUUUUUCCACUGUCUUAUGCAUAUGUAAUCAUGUAUAUACAUACAUCUGUGCGCUCAUGUAAUUUUUGUAAAUUGAACUAUAGUUUACAAAAAAUAGACUGCACACAUUUUAAGUGUGCAAUUUAAUGAGUUUCAACAAAUGUAUGCUCCUGAGUGACCGUCACCCCAUGAAGAUACAGGACAUAUCCAUCUCCCAGAAAGUCCUCAUGGUCUGCCUACUCAGCUCCCCAGCCCGUCCUCACCGCCCACAGAAUCGCAUCCUGCACCCUCUUCCCCGCU
rnacentral:lncRNA from 1 species